UACGUAGGGGGCGAGCGUUGUCCGGAUUUAUUGGGCGUAAAGAGCGUGUAGGCGGCCAGGUAGGUCUGCUGUGAAAACUCGAGGCUCAACCUCGAGACGUCGGCGGAAACCAUCUGGCUAGAGUCCGGAAGAGGAGAGUGGAAUUCCUGGUGUAGCGGUGAAAUGCGCAGAUAUCAGGAAGAACACCCGUGGCGAAGGCGGCUCUCUGGGACGGUACUGACGCUGAGGCGCGAAAGCCAGGGGAGCAAACGGG
rnacentral:rRNA from 1 species